rnacentral:rRNA from 1 species
AGAGUUUGAUUAUGGCUCAGGAUGAACGCUAGCUACAGGCUUAACACAUGCAAGUCGAGGGGCAGCAUGAUCGAAGCUUGCUUUGAUUGAUGGCGACCGGCGCACGGGUGAGUAACGCGUAUCCAACCUUCCCUAUAGUAGAGGAUAGCCCGGCGAAAGUCGGAUUAAUACUCUAUGUUUUCCAAUGCAGACAUCUAAGUUGGAACAAAGGUUCACCGCUAUAGGAUGGGGAUGCGUCUGAUUAGGUAGUCGGCGGGGUAACGGCCCACCGAGCCUACGAUCAGUAGGGGUUCUGAGAGGAAGGUCCCCCACAUUGGAACUGAGACACGGUCCAAACUCCUACGGGAGGCAGCAGUGAGGAAUAUUGGUCAAUGGGCGAGAGCCUGAACCAGCCAAAAGUAGCGUGCAGGAUGACGGCCCUAUGGGUUGUAAACUGCUUUUAUACGGGGAUAAAGUGAGGGACGUGUCCCUUUUUGUAGGUACCGUAUGAAUAAGGACCGGCUAAUUCCGUGCCAGCCGCCGC